rnacentral:rRNA from 1 species
GUAGGUGGCAAGCGUUGUCCGGAAUUAUUGGGCGUAAAGCGCGCGCAGGUGGUUCUUUAAGUCUGAUGUGAAAGCCCCCGGCUCAACCGGGGAGGGUCAUUGGAAACUGGGGAACUUGAGUGCAGGAGAGGAAAGUGGAAUUCCACGUGUAGCGGUGAAAUGCGUGGAUAUGUGGAGGAACACCAGUGGCGAAGGCGACUUUCUGGCCUGUAACUGACACUGAGGCGCGAAAGCGUGGGGAGCAAACAGGGAUUAGAUACCCUGGUAGUCCACGCCGUAAACGAUGAGUGCUAAGUGUUGGGGGGGUUUCCCGCCCCUCAGUGCUGCAGCUAACGCAUUAAGCACUCCGCCUGGGGAGUACAGUCGCAAGACUG